GACGAACGCUUUUGGCGUGCUUAACACAUGCAAGUCGAACGGAAAGGCCCUGCUUUUGUGGGGUGCUCGAGUGGCGAACGGGUGAGUAACACGUGAGUAACCUGCCCUUGACUUUGGGAUAACUUCAGGAAACUGGGGCUAAUACCGGAUAGGAGCUCCUGCUGCAUGGUGGGGGUUGGAAAGUUUCGGCGGUUGGGGAUGGACUCGCGGCUUAUCAGCUUGUUGGUGGGGUAGUGGCUUACCAAGGCUUUGACGGGUAGCCGGCCUGAGAGGGUGACCGGCCACAUUGGGACUGAGAUACGGCCCAGACUCCUACGGGAGGCAGCAGUGGGGAAUAUUGCACAAUGGGCGGAAGCCUGAUGCAGCAACGCCGCGUGCGGGAUGACGGCCUUCGGGUUGUAAACCGCUUUCGCCUGUGACGAAGCGUGAGUGACGGUAAUGGGUAAAGAAGCACCGGCUAACUACGUGCCAGCAGCCGCGGUGAUACGUAGGGUGCGAGCGUUGUCCGGAUUUAUUGGGCGUAAAGGGCUCGUAGGUGGUUGAUCGCGUCGGAAGUGUAAUCUUGGGGCUUAACCCUGAGCGUGCUUUCGAUACGGGUUGACUUGAGGAAGGUAGGGGAGAAUGGAAUUCCUGGUGGAGCGGUGGAAUGCGCAGAUAUCAGGAGGAACACCAGUGGCGAAGGCGGUUCUCUGGGCCUUUCCUGACGCUGAGGAGCGAAAGCGUGGGGAGCGAACAGGCUUAGAUACCCUGGUAGUCCACGCUGUAAACGGUGGGUACUAGGUGUGGGGUCCAUUCCACGGGUUCCGUGCCGUAGCUAACGCUUUAAGUACCCCGCCUGGGGAGUACGGCCGCAAGGCUAAAACUCAAAGGAAUUGACGGGGCCCCGCACAAGCGGCGGAGCAUGCGGAUUAAUUCGAUGCAACGCGUAGAACCUUACCUGGGUUUGACAUGGGUCGGGAGUGCUCAGAGAUGGGUGUGCCUCUUUUGGGGUCGGUUCACAGGUGGUGCAUGGCUGUCGUCAGCUCGUGUCGUGAGAUGUUGGGUUAAGUCCCGCAACGAGCGCAACCCUUGUUCACUGUUGCCAGCACGUUAUGGUGGGGACUCAGUGGAGACCGCCGGGGUCAACUCGGAGGAAGGUGGGGAUGACGUCAAGUCAUCAUGCCCCUUGUGUCCAGGGCUUCACGCAUGCUACAAUGGCUGGUACAGAGAGUGGCGAGCCUGUGAGGGUGAGCGAAUCUCGGAAAGCCGGUCUCAGUUCGGAUUGGGGUCUGCAACUCGACCUCAUGAAGUCGGAGUCGCUAGUAAUCGCAGAUCAGCAACGCUGCGGUGAAUACGUUCCCGGG
rnacentral:rRNA from 1 species